AGUGAACGCUGGCGGUAGGCCUAACACAUGCAAGUCGAACGGCAGCACAGUAAGAGCUUGCUCUUACGGGUGGCGAGUGGCGGACGGGUGAGGAAUACAUCGGAAUCUACUUUUUCGUGGGGGAUAACGUAGGGAAACUUACGCUAAUACCGCAUACGACCUACGGGUGAAAGCAGGGGAUCUUCGGACCUUGCGCGAUUGAAUGCGCCGAUGUCGGAUUAGCUAGUUGGGGGGGUAAAGGCCCACCAAGGCGACGAUCCGUAGCUGGUCUGAGUGGAUGGUCGGCCACACUGGAACGUAGACACGGUCCAGACUCCUACGGGAGGCAGCAGUGGGGAAUAUUGGACAAUGGGCGCAAGCCUGAUCCAGCCAUACCGCGUGGGUGAAGAAGGCCUUCGGGUUGUAAAGCCCUUUUGUUGGGAAAGAAAAGCAGCAGGUUAAUACCCCGCUGUUCUGACGGUACCCAAAGAAUAAGCACCGGCUAACUUCGUG
rnacentral:rRNA from 1 species